UCAUUUUCACAGAGGGAAACCGCAGUCCAGAGAGACUGAACGUCUCCUUGGACUUGCCCUCUCCGUGUGGCCCCUUGUGUUGUGUUCUUCUGACACAGAAAAAGAACUGCAGGAGACCCCCGUGUUCCUGCUGAGCAAAAAGCUAUAUGUGAUUCUAAAGAUGUCCUAGGAGUUGGAUCCUCUCAGAAUGUUUCCUUUAGAGCAGGAUUUCUUGACUGGUGGUAAGAUUGAUCUAGGAUGCUUAUUUAAAAUAGUAUAAGGAGUUCCCGUCGUGGCACAGUGGUUAACGAAUCCGACUAGGAACCAUGAGGUUGCGGGUUCGGUUCCUGCCCUUGCUCAGUGGGUUAACAAUCCGGCGUUGCCGUGAGCUGUGGUGUAGAUUGCAGACGAGGCUCAGAUCCCGCGUUGCUGUGGCUCUGGCGUAGGCCAGUGGCUACAGCUCCGAUUCGACCCCUAGCCUGGGAACCUCCAUAUGCUGCAAGAGCAGCCCAAAGAAAUGGCAAAAAGAAAAAAUAAAUAAAUAAAUUAAUUAAUUAAUUAAUAAAAUUAAAUUAAAUAGUAUAAAAGGGAGUUUCCUGGUGGCUCAGUGGAUUAAGGGCCUGGGGCUGUCAUUGCUGUGGCUCAGGUCGCUGCCGUGACAUGGGUUCCAUCCCUGGUCUGGGAACUUUUGCAUGCUGCGGAUGCAGCCAAAAAAAUAAUGAAAUAGGAGUUCUUGCUGUGGCACAGUGGGAUUAGAGGUGUCUCUUCAGUGCCAAGGACACAGGUUCAAUCCCUAGCCCAGCAUAGUUGGUUAAAGGAUCAGGGGUUGCCACAGCUGCAGUGUAGGUUACAGCUGAGGCUCAGAUAUGACCCCUGGCCUGGAAACUUUCAUAUGAUGAGGGGUGGCCAAAAAUGAAAAAGGGGGGGGGGAGAAAAAUAAAAUAAAAUAAAAUAAAAUAAAGGUUCUAGUCCAAGGUUUUAAAAGUUAGUUAAUUAAUUAAUUAAUAUAGGUUCCUCCUUCCCUCCUGGAACAUCCAGUUCUUAAGAUCUCAGGGAGGGUCUGGGAAUCUAAGACUUUUAACAAGCCCUCCAGAGAUUCUGGUGAAACUGGGGGUGGACACUGCUCUAGAGAGCUGUUCUUUUUCUGAACAGCUCUUUUUCUCUCUGAGGGUGAGUUUAGACUAUGCUGAGCCUAAAAAUUAUGACUUGUUCUUAUUGGAGAUCAGCAACCAAGUUCUGAAAAAAUGGAGAAGCGCUAUGUGCUAUGGAAAGACCAUGAAACUAGCACUCAGGUGCUGCCAGACAAUGGGGCAUCACAACCUUCAAAAUGUUUCCUGCUGCGUCUUCAGCACCUGGAACAGUGCCUGGUGUGUAGUGGACGUUCAAUCAAUACCCACUGGGUGAAUAACGACAUCCAUCCAUAAAGGAGGCUGUCAAACUAAAUACAAGACCAGCCCGGCAGGAGCAAGCCCAGGUGAGUCCCAAGCCUCCUCUCUUUCCUCUGCCCUCCUCCUGCCAGCUUGCUGCCCCUUUCCUGGGUAUAGCCAUCCUUCAGGCUGUGCCAUUCUUCCCCGGGGUCUUCUCUGCCCAGUGAGACCAUGCAUGUACCUCCACUCCGGGAACACUAGGGUCACCCCACGACCAGCUUCUCUGCAGCUAUGCACCCACCAGCCAGACCCCUCCUCCUGCCACCCACAACUCUAGAGGCCACCAUUGUGUGACAGUCCCAGGCUGCCAUCACACAACUCCAGGGGCCACCAUUCACACUGUCGUGGAUGUGAAUGUCCUAGGGUUGUGCAGGGUCUGGCUUAGCACAAACUCAGGGCCCCUUGCACAGAGCUGACUAGCAUCUGAUUGCAGGUUGGGGCCACCUCUUCCACCCCCUAGAUGCGCAGGUAAGUGACAGUGGGCAGGGGGUGGGGGCAAAUUGAGUCUCCCCGAGGGCUCUGGACACCUCCUGCCCAUCAUAGUCCAGCACAGCUAAGUCACUGCCGUCUAGCUUUUCCACCUGUCUUGAUCAGAAUUAGGGAUGCAGAGGGAGGUCCUGUUGUGGUUCAGAGGGUUAAGAACCCAACUAGUAUCCUUGAGGAUGUGAGUUUGAUCUCUGGCUUCACGCUGUGGGUUAAGGAUCCAGGGGUGCCAACAACUGCAGAGUAGGUCGCAGAUGCGACUGGGAUCUGGCAUUGCUGUGGCUGUGGCAUAGGCUGGCAGCUGUAGCUCCAAUUCGACCCUCAGCCUGGGAACUUCCAUUUGCCGCAGGUGCAGGAAAAAGAAAAAUUAGGGAGGCAGAGGCUGGGGACUGGCAUAGGUGGAACAGGCUGCAAGGCCCCCUUAUCUCCCAGAUGCUUCACUGGCCCUGCUGCAGUGUUGGGAAGACCCAUCAUUAGUCUUUCCAUUGAGGCCACUGUAAAAGUGUAGAUGGUUUAUUACACUGAGGAGAGAGAGUAA
rnacentral:lncRNA from 1 species